UAAUGCAUGUAAGUCGAGCGAUGAGGCCCUCUUCGGGGGGUACAUCAGCGGCAGACGGGUGAGUAGCACGUAGGUGAUCUACCCCAGAGACGGGGAUAACGGACGGAAACGCCCGCUAAUACCGGAUGACCUUGUCAGGUCAAAGCGACAAGGAAAGGCUCCGGCGCUCUGGGAGGAGCCUGCGGCCCAUCAGCUAGUUGGCGGGGUAAAGGCCCACCAAGGCGAAGACGGGUAGGGGGUGUGAGAGCAUGGCCCCCCACAAUGGGACUGAAACACGGCCCAUACUCCUACGGGAGGCAGCAGCAGGGAAUAUUGCACAAUGGACGGAAGUCUGAUGCAGCGACGCCGCGUGGAUGAUGAAGGCCCUCGGGUUGUAAAAUCCUUUACAAGGGGACGAGGAAGGACGGUACCCUUGGAACAAGUGUCGGCUAACUACGUGCCAGCAGCCGCGGUAAGACGUAGGACACAAGCGUUAUCCGGAUUUACUGGGCGUAAAGCGUCUGCAGGCGGACAGGUAAGUUGGGCGUGAAAGCUCCGGGCCCAACCCGGAGAGGUCGUUCAAUACUGCGUGUCUAGAGGGUGUCAGAGGGGAGUGGAAUUUCCGGAGUAGCGGUAAAAUGCGCAGAGAUCGGAAAGAACAACAAUGGCGAAGGCAGCUCCCUGGGGCAUACCUGACGCUAAGAGACGAAAGCUAGGGGAGCGAACAGGAUUAGAGACCCUGGUAGUCCUAGCCCUAAACGAUGGAUGCUGGAUGUGGGGCCAUAGCGCUCCGUGUCGAAGCGAACGCGUUAAGCAUCCCGCCUGGGGACUACGGCCGCAAGGUUAAAACUCAAACGAAUUGACGGGACCCCGCACAAGCAGCGGAGCGUGUGGUUUAAUUCGAUGCUACACGAAGAACCUUACCUGGGUUUGACAUCUAGGUGGUAGCGAAGUGAAAGCGGAGCGACCCUUCGGGGAGCCUAGACAGGUGCUGCAUGGCUGUCGUCAGCUCGUGCCGUGAGGUGUCGGGUUAAGUCCCGUAACGAGCGCAACCCUUGCCCUCCGUUAUACGUGUCAGAGGGGACUGCCGGCGGUAAGCCGGAGGAAGGUGGGGAUGACGUCAAGUCAGCAUGGCCUUUAUAUCCAGGGCUACACACA
rnacentral:rRNA from 1 species